rnacentral:rRNA from 1 species
AAGUUGUCCGCCUGGGGAGUACGCACGCAAGUGUGAAACUCAAAGGAAUUGACGGGGGCCCGCACAAGCGGUGGAGUAUGUGGUUUAAUUCGAUGCAACGCGAAGAACCUUACCAAGGCUUGACAUCCUCGGAACCCUGAUGAAAGUUAGGGGUGCCUUCGGGAGCCGAGAGACAGGUGGUGCAUGGCUGUCGUCAGCUCGUGUCGUGAGAUGUUGGGUUAAGUCCCCCAACGAGCGCAACCCCCGUUUUUAGUUGUCAGCACUCAGUGGGGCACUCUAGAGAGACUGCCGGUGACAAACCGGAGGAAGGUGGGGAAGACGUCAAGUCAGCAUGGCCCUUAUGCCUUGGGCCACACACGUACUACAAUGCGUCGGACAGAGGGCAGCAAGCCAGCGAGGGGGAGCCAAUCCCAAAAACCGACGCUCAGUUCAGAUUGCAGGCUGCAACUCGCCUGCAUGAAGGCGGAAUCGCUAGUAAUCGCAGAUCAGCAUACUGCGGUGAAUACGUUCCCGGGCCUUGUACACACCGCCCGUCACACCAUG